CAGUCGCCGCGGUAAUACGUAGGUGGCAAGCGUUGUCCGGAAUUAUUGGGCGUAAAGGGCUCGCAGGCGGUUUCUUAAGUCUGAUGUGAAAGCCCCCGGCUCAACCGGGGAGGGUCAUUGGAAACUGGGAAACUUGAGUGCAGAAGAGGAGAGUGGAAUUCCACGUGUAGCGGUGAAAUGCGUAGAGAUGUGGAGGAACACCAGUGGCGAAGGCGACUCUCUGGUCUGUAACUGACACUGAGGCGCGAAAGCGUGGGGAGCAAACAGGAUUAGAUACCCGGGUAGUCCCUGUCUCUUAUAC
rnacentral:rRNA from 1 species